rnacentral:rRNA from 1 species
GACGAACGCUGGCGGCGCGCCUAACACAUGCAAGUCGAACGAGCGAGAGAGAGCUUGCUUUCUCGAGCGAGUCGCGAACGGGUGAGUAACGCGUGAGGAACCUGCCCCAAAGAGGGGGACAACAGUUGGAAACGACUGCUCAUACCGCAUAAGCCAACGGAUCGGCAUCGACCAGAGGGAAAAGGAGCAAUCCGCUUUGAGAGGGCCUCGCGUCCGAUUAGCUAGUUGGUGAGGUAACGGCCCACCAAGGCAACGAACGGUAGCCGGACUGAGAGGUUGAACGGGCGCAGUGGGACUGAGACACGGCCCAGACUCAGACGGGAGGCAGCAGUGGGGAAUAUUGCAAGAUGGGGGAAACCCUGAUGCAGCGACGCCGCGUGGAGGAAGAAGGUCUUCGGAUUGUAAACUCCUGUUGUUGAGGAAGAUAAUGACGGUACUCAACAAGGAAGUGACGGCUAACUACGUGCCAGCCGCCGCAGUAAGAC